rnacentral:rRNA from 1 species
UACGUAGGGGGCAAGCGUUGUCCGGAUUUAUUGGGCGUAAAGAGCGUGUAGGCGGUCAGGUAGGUCCGUUGUGAAAACUCGAGGCUCAACCUCGAGAUGCCGAUGGAAACCAUCUGACUAGAGUCCGGAAGAGGAGAAUGGAAUUCCCGGUGUAGCGGUGAAAUGCGCAGAUAUCGGGAAGAACACCCGUGGCGAAGGCGGUUCUCUGGGACGGUACUGGACGCUGAGACGCGAAAGCGUGGGGAGCGAACAGG